rnacentral:rRNA from 1 species
UACGUAGGGUGCAAGCGUUAAUCGGAAUUACUGGGCGUAAAGCGUGCGCAGGCGGUUCUAUAAGACAGAUGUGAAAUCCCCGGGCUCAACCUGGGAAUUGCAUUCGAGACUGCAAGGCUAGGGUGCGGAAGAGGGAAGCGGAAUUUCCGGUGUAGCGGUGAAAUGCGUAGAUAUCGGAAGGAACAUCAGUGGCGAAAGCGGCUUCCUGGUCCAGCACCGACGUUCAGGCACGAAAGCGUGGGGAGCAAACAGG